CUGAUGGAGCAACACCGCGUGAGUGAAGAAGGGUUUCGGCUCGUAAAACUCUGUUGUUGAAGAAGAACGUGCGUGAGAGUAACUGUUCACGCAGUGACGGUAUUCAACCAGAAAGUCACGGCUAACUACGUGCCAGCAGCCGCGGUAAU
rnacentral:rRNA from 1 species